AGAAAUUGCUCUAAGACUGUAUUGAGCAUAAUUUAAUUUCUCCUUGAUAAUUCUGAAGGGCACUUCAUGGUAUUGUAGUUCCUGAGCGUCAACAUGGGGAACAUUAAUUACUGUUGCACUGCACACAUGCGGAGUUGCUAAUCAAUGGCAUGGGGGCAGAUAGUUUCUAAGGCUGAUGGGAUGAGAAGAACCAGGCAGAACCAGAAUGUCCUAUAGAUUGUCAGUUGCAUGCUUUUAUUCCUUGCAGAACUCUGGAAGGAAUCCAGUAGAGGCCAUCACGCCCUUAGGUAAAUUUAUUAUGGUAUAAAUUGUAAUCGCAGUGACAGAAAUCUUAAUCAUUUUUUUCCAAUGGCAUAAGGCUUUACAACUUUUUUUAAAAUAUUUUUUUAUUAUACUUUAAGUUUUAGGGUACAUGUGCACAACGUGCAGGUUUGUUACAUAUGCAUACAUGUGCCAUGUUGGUGUGCUGCCCCCAUUAACUCGUCAUUUACAUUAGGUAUAUCUCCUAAUGCUAUCCCUCCCCCCUCCCCCCACCCCACAACAGGCCCCGGUGUGUGAUGUUUCCCUUCCUGUGCCCAAGUGUUCUCAUUGUUCAAUUCCCACCUAUGAGUGAGAACACACGGUGUUUGGUUGUUUGUCCUUGCGAUAGUUUGCUGAGAAUGAUGGUUUCCAACUUCAUCCGUGUCCCUAUAAACGACAUUAACUCAUCCUUUUUUAUGGCUGCAUAGUAUUCCAUGGUGUAUAUGUGCCACAUUUUCUUAAUCCAGUCUAUCAUUGAUGGACAUUUGGGUUGGUUCCAAGUCUUUGCUAUUGUGAGUAGUGCUGCAAUAAACAUGAGUGUGCAUGUGUCUUUAUAGCAGCAUGAUUUAUAGUCAUUUGGGUAUAUACCCAGUAAUGGGAUGGCUGGGUCAAAUGGAAUUUCUAGUUCUAGAUCCCUGAGGAAUCGCCACACUGUCUUCCACAAUGGUCGAACUAGUUUACAGUCCCACCAACAGUGUAAAAGUGUUCCUAUUUCUCCACAUCCUCUCCAGCACCUAUUGUUUCCUGACUUAUUAAUGAUCGCCAUUCUAACUGGUGUGAGAUGGUAUCUCAUUGUGGUUUUGAUUUGCAUUUCUCUGAUGGCCAGUGAUGAUGAGCAUUUUUUCAUGUGUCUGUUGGCUCCAUAAAUGCCUUCUUCUGAGACGUGUCUGUUCAUAUCCUUCGGCCACUUGUUGAUGGGGUUGUUUGUUUCUUGUAAAUUUGUUUGAGUUCUUUGGGCUUUACAACUUUCAAAGUGAAUUGGAUUUUUACCGUAAGCAAAAUAGAACAGAGGGUUUAUCUCAACCAGAAACAAAUGGAGUGUGUAAAAUUCAGUCUCUCUCUUCAGCCCCAUGCUACUGACUUCUGAAUAGCAUUCCAGCUGUAUUUAUCUGGGGCUUGGGAAAUUUUCUUGGUUCCUGGGAAGAAAGUUAACUAAAACAUAUGACAUCUCUGGCAGCAGUCACAAUUUCACACAAAAAGUUUCUUGCAAUAACUUCACAUAUUGCUUCCCCUGGUGGAAUCACUAUCUCUAGGGAAAGCUUGGGUCUAAAAUGACAACUAUAUUGAAUGAAAGUGAGAGCUGAAUGCUAGAUCCACCAGCUUGUAUCUCUCUAGGAGAAAUCUUCAUCUUAAAAUCACUUUUUAUGGAUGAUGUUAUGACAGAGACAAGUCCUAGAUUUUUUUCUUUUCCUGCUUUUAAAACAUAAAAAUUGUAAAACUUCUCAAGUAGCCAGACGUGGUGACGCAUCUGUAGUCCCAGUUACUCAAGAGGCUGAGGCAGGAGGUUUGAGCUCAGAGGUUCAAAUCCAGCUUGGGCAACAUAGUGAGACCCCCCCAACACACACCAAUCUCAAAACAAACAAAAAGCCUUCUCAAGUAAAAAAAUAAGCAAAUACUGUUACUACUCCAGCUACUCAACAGUGCUCCCUGUAGAUGAAAUACUACAGAGUGUUUGCUAUUUACAGGAAAUUGGAGGUGGGGUGGUUACUGGAAAGUGGGUUGGCAGAGAUUGGUGGUUAUGUGAUUUAAUCCUGAAAUAGACUGGUUAUGAGAAUCAAUGUCUUCAAAUUUCAAAUACUGUCUUGCUUUUGCUUUUGUAUAUAUAUACACACAUAUAUACAUAUAAAUAUAUAUACACACACACACACAAAAGCAAAAGCAAAACAGUUAUUAGCUAUCCUUCCUAGAGAUAGCUAGCAAGGACAGCUAAUCAACUCUUUCAACAUUUCAAGAUUAAAGGAUGAGGAUACCACCUGGGUUUUAAUACGGAGAUGGCUCAAGCCCUUUCCACUGCCAUGUAAAAGAUUUUUAGAUCACAUGUGUUGAUCAUUACAGUGAUGAGAUGGUAUUAAAAUGCUUGACAAAUUGGUCUCCAUGGCAGUGCUUGUAGUCCCAGCUACUCAGAGAGGCUGAGGCAGGAGGAUAAAGUGAGCCCAGGAGUUCGAGUCCAGCCUGGGCAGCAAAGCGAGCUCCUGUCUCUAAAACAAAAUACAGACUUGACAAACACCUACUGAAGGCAAUAUGAUCAUUACUUACAGAAAGGACAGGAUCAGAGCUAGGAGAGUGAAGGACUAGAUUUAUGAAGCUUCAGUCCCUUCUUUACGGGCACUGAAGAGAAACAGUUCAAGUCCUCCAGUUGUCCCAUAGGCUUUGUCAUAUAAGAAUGGAUAAUUUGCUACAAGCUCGAAAUGGCAAAACCAAUUACCUAAUGUUGCUACUGUACUGACUAAUCAUCUUACUCAUGAAACUAUCUACACCUUGCAGAGAACUUUAAGAAAACCACUGGGCAUGGUGGGUCGUGCCUAUAAUCUCAGAAUUUUGGAAGACCAAGGUGGGGGCAUCCCUUGAAGCCAGGAGUUUGAGACCAGCCUAGGCAACACAGCAAGAUACUGUCUCUACAUAAAACAAAAAAUAAGAAAAGUUAGCCAGGCAUGGUGGCUAUGCCUGUAGUCCUAGCUACUUGGGAGGCUGAGGCAGGAGGAUCCUUGCAGUGAGCACUCCAGCCUGGGUGAUGGAGCGAGACCCUGUCUCAAGAAAGAAAGAAAGAAGGGAAGAAAGGAAGAAAGGAAGGAAGGAAGGAAGAAAGGAAGAAAGGAAGGAAGGAAGAAGGAAGGAAGGAAGAAAAAGAAAGAAAGAAAGAAAGAAAGAAAGAAAGAAAGAAAGAAAGAAAGAAAGAAAGAAAAACCUUGCAGUAUACAUUUUCAUAAGCCCAAAAGUUACUUCCUUCCAUUUAUUGCAAGGCUAUAAGAACCCAAAUGUCUGCCUGUUAUGAUUUUAACCAGCACUUUUCUACAAGUGAGUAUGUUCAAGAACCCCUAAAAAGACUGUAAUAAUCAGAUAUCAAGCACCUAUAUGAGGUAGCAGGAGGAAGAAAGAGGCAGUACAAACAACAAUCCACACAUAAUCCAGUAAUGCAAGCUCUGAAAUUCCAACACUUCAUUUCAACUGCUUCCCCCAAAAUUCCAUACCAUGUUCUUGCUUUUGGAUAAAGUCAGUGACAAGAAACGAGAUGGUCAUACAGCAGCAGCAAAAAUAUAAUCAGGAAAUAUAAUGACUUUGUAAUAUCCCUGUGCGAAAGAAAUAAACCUGAGUAGUGAGAGGAACAUGGGUCUUGGAUUAGGAUAUAGAACAAUGUUUAAACCCUGGUUGGCCAGGUAUAAGCUAUGUAAUAACCUUGGGCAAUUCACCUAAUUCCUCUGAGUCUUAAUUUCCUCAUUUCUUAUAUGUGGUAAUUGUGCCUAAUUGAGAAGAUGCACAAUAGAAAUUCAAUAGUAGCUCUAAUUACCAUGCAACAACCUUCCUGGUCCACUGUGUGGGUUUCUUUCAGGCUGUGAGUAAGUGGACAUGGAUUUCUGUAGCUAGUCUCUGCCAGAGGAUAUGAGUAUUUCAAGAAGCAGGAAGGGCUGGAGGUGUGUGAAGGCUCCCCCGCUCCUGCACUUCAUUUGUACACUCUCAUCAUCACUGGAGGAGUCUCCUGGCUGCAGUUGAGCCUUCGAUGAGAUGAUUUGCAUCACUCACAUUCCAAGCUGGGUGGGGGAAGCCCAGACAUUCUCGCUCUGCCCCUCAACCAGCUUGGUGCCAGAUUUCCUCUCGCUUCACCCCCCCAGGAGGUCAUCUAGGGAGCAGGCAUCACACAGUAGCAACAGGCCUUGCGGAUGAUGACAUCAUAGGCUAUUUUGCCCACUCUGUUUAUCUCGCACUGAGAGGCAGGAGAGCACAGUAAGGAGCACAGGUUUUUUGGUUUGGUUUUGUGGGUUUUGUGGGGGUUUUUUGUUUUUUGUUUUUUUUUUUUUUUUUGAGAUAGACUAUCACUCUGUCACCCAGGCUGGAGUGCAGUGGCACGAUCUCAGCUCACUGCAACCUCCACCUCCGGGAUUCAGGUGAUUCUCGUGCCUCAGCCUCCCAAGUAGCUGGGAUUACAGGAGCACACCACCAUGACUGGCUAAUAUUUGCAUUUUUAAUAGAAACAGGGUUUUGCCAUAUUGGCCAGGCUGGUCUCAAACUCCUGACCUCAAGUGAUCCUCCUGCCUUGGCCUUGCAAAGUGCUGUGAUUACAGGCGUGAGCCACUGCACCUGGCAAAGAGCACAGGUUUUGAAGUCAAACAGACCUAUCUUCAAAGUAUGUUUCUGUCCUGUGCCACAUCUAAACCUUAAUUCCCUAAGCUGUAAAAGAUGAUCAAAUAGGCCAGGCACGGUGGCUCACACCUGUAAUCCCAGCACUGUGGGAGGCCGAGGCGGGCAGAUCACCUGAGGUCAGGAGUUCCAGACCAGCCUGGCCAACAUGAUGAAACCCCAUCUCUAUUAAAAAUAAGAAAAUUAGCCGGGCAUGGUGACAUAUGCCUAUAAUCCCAGUUACUCCAGAGGCUGAGGCAGGAGAAUCACUUGAACCUGGGUGGCAGAGGUUGCGGUGAGCUGAGAUUGUGCCACUGCACUCCAGCCUGGAUGACAGAGUAAGACUCCAUCUCGAAAAGAAAAAAAGAAACCCCACUGCCACCUCUGAAAGAUCUUCGGUGAUUUGGGCCAUUCAUUCAUUCCUCAGACUUAACCACCAACUGCACACCACACCCUGGGGAUACGAAUAAGACAUGAACUCCACCUUCAAAACACAUUCAGCCUGCUGAGAGAGAUAUAAACAAACCACAGCAAAUAUAAUGCACAAUAUCAUAUAACAGAGGUAGAGAGAAUGGAGGUCAAAAGGAGAAAGUAAUUGAAAAAAAGGCAAUUUUUGGAAGGCUUCACAGAAGCAGUGACACUAAAGGUAGCAUCUUUUUUUUUUUUUUUUUUUUUUUUUGUGAGGCAGCGUUUCACUCUCUUGCCCAGGCUGGAGUGCAGUGACCCAAUCUCAGCUCACUGCAACCUCCGCCUCCCAGGUUCAAACAAUUCUCCUGUCUCAGCCUCCUAAGUAGCUGGGACUACAGGUGCACGCCACCAUGCCAGCUAAUUUUUGUAUUUUUAGUAGAGAUAGGGUUUUACCAUAUUGGUCAAGCUGGUCUCGAAUUCCUGAUCUCAGGUGAUCCACCCACCUUGGCCUCCCAAAGUGCUGGGAUUACAGGCAUGAGCCACCUCGCCCAGCCUAAAGCUAGCAUCUUAAAUGUAGAUGAAAAUCUGUGAUGUUCAGUAUGUUCACUCUACUUUUUUUUUCAAAAGAUGAAUUACCUUUUCAUUAAUGUUUCCCUUUUUUUUUUUUUUUUGAGCUGGAGUCUUGCUCUGUUGCCCAAGCUGGCGUACAAUGGCGUGAUCUCAGCUCACCGCAACCUCCGCCUCCCAUGUUCACGUGAUUCUCCUGCCUCAGUCUCCCAAGUGGCUGGGAUUACAGGUGUGCACCACCACACCCAGCUAAUUUUUGUACCUUUAGUAGAGACAGGGUUUCACCAUGUUGGUCAGGCUGGUCUCAAACUCUUGACCUCAAGUGAUCCUCCUGCCUCAGCCUCCCAAAGUGCUGGGAUUACAGACAUGAGCCACCAUGCCCAGCCAAAAGAUGAACUACCUUUUUAAAAAAGCAUAGGAUUGUCGCCAGGCGGAGUGGCUCAUGCCUGUAAUACCAGCAUUUUGCGAGGCUGAGGCGGACGGAUGACAAGGUCAGGACAUUGAAACCAUCCUGGCUAACACCGUGAAACCCUGCCUCUAGUAAAAAUACAAAAAAUUAGCCGGGCAUGUGGCGGGCGCCUACAGUCCCAGCUAUUCGGGAGGCUGAGGCAGGAGAAUGGUGUGAACCCCGGAGGCAGAGCUUGCAGUGAGCCGAGAUGGCGCCACUGCACUCCAGCCUUGGCGACAGUGCGAGACUCCGUCUCAAAAAGAAAAAAAAAGGCAUAGGAUUAUGUAUCUAAUUUACCUACUAUUCCAUUACUAUUUUACAUCCUAUUUCUGAAUUUCUGUGUCUUCCGCCACUUAUCUUGACUUAAUUUUUUUCUUUUAAGUAACUAGUCAUAUUGUUGCACUAUCCACAUAAAAAUUACUUCCAAAGACUUGUGAUAGAACCCAGUGAUGUCACACCUAGAUAUAUAACUCUCACAAGGAGACACAUACAAAAACAUUUAUCAUGCAUUGUUUGUAAGGGAAAAAUAAUGGAAACAAUUUAAAGAUCUAUCAACAAAAGAAUGAAUAAACUGUGGUCUUUUUAUACAAUGAAAUACUAUCUAGCACUUUAAAUAAACUAGAAGAUGUGUAUUGGCCUGACGCAGUGGCUCACACCUGUAAUCCCAGCACUUUGGGAGGCUGAGGAGGGCGGAUCACUUGAGACCAGAAGUUCAAGACCAGCCUGGCCAACAUGGCAAAACCCAUCUUUACUAAAAAUACAAAAAUUAGCAGAGCGUGGUGGCAAGCGCCUGUAAUCCAGCUACUCGGGAGGCUGAGGCAGGAGAAUCGCUUCAACCUGGGAGGCAGAGGCUGCAGUGAGCCAAGAUCGUGCCACUGCACUCCAGCCUGAGAGACAGAGUGAGAAUCCAUCUCAAAAAAAAAAGAAAAAAAAAAAAAAGAUGUGUAUUAGGGGCCAACCAUGGUGGCUCACACCUGAAAUCCCAGCACUUUGGGAGGCUGAGACAGGUGGCUCACUUGAGCUAAGGAGGUCAUGACUAGUCUGGGCAACAUGUGAAACCCUGUUUCUACAAAAAAUACAAAAAUUAGCUAGGCAUGGCGGCGUGUGCCCGUAGGCCCAGCUACUUGCAGGGCUGAGGCAGGAAGAUUGCUUCAGCCCAGGAGGUCAAGGCUUCAGUGAGUCAUGAUCACACCAUUGCACUCCAGCCUGGUGAACAGAGUGAGACUGUUUAGAAAAAAAAAAAAAAGAUGAGUAUUAAUACAUGUUGAGUGAGAGAUUAAGAAGAAAGCGCAUAAUAUAUCAUUUAAUGAUGAAAAACUUGCAAAUCAACUUUAUGUCUUAUGGAUACAUAUAUAGUAUAAAUAUAAAAAAUAGCUGGGUGUGGUGGUGUGUGCCUAUAGACCCAGCUACUUGGGAGGCUGAGGCGGGAGGAUUGCUUGAGCCCACUAGUUCUGGGCAUCAUAUAGUGACCUCCCAGGAGCAGAGGGCUACCUGGUUGCCUAAGGAAAGGUGAACCCACCUGUGUGGGAAGCAGAGCAGGUCAAAACUCCUGUGCUGAUCAUAGUGGAUUGCACCUGUGAAUAGGCACUGCCCUUCACCCUGGGCAACACAGGAAGACUCCAGCUCUUAUUAAAAAAAAUUUUAAAUAAUAUAAAAAUACACAGAGGAAUUAAAACUCUAAAUUCAGGGUAGUUGUCACCCUGCAGAUCACAAGAGAGGAAUGAGAUAGAUUGGUUUCAGGGGUUUUAACUACAUCUAUAUGAUUUUAACUUUGUCAGCACUUCUGGUGGCUUGUUGAGGAAAAAAAGGUUUUAACUUGGAAGAAACAGAGGAAAGGGGAAAAAAGGGAGGGAGGAAGAGGGCAAAAGGGGGAGGGAGGGAAAAAGGGAGAUCUGAAGCAAAUAUGGCAAAAUUUUAUUACAUGAAAUACUAUCUAGCACUUAGGGCUGGAUUGUAGAUAGAUGAUUUUUUGUCAUAUUAUUUUGUAUGCUUUUCUGUCUGUUUGAAAUAUUCUAUUGUAAAUAGAUGUGCUAAUCUUUAUAAUAAUAAUUCAUGGUAUUAUUCACCAAAUUUAACAGCCUAACAAAAGUUUAGAAGUAAAAAAUUAGCAAGUGGCACAUAUUUUCCAGUUCUACUAGUAAAGAAACUUGUUUGCAUCUGGGGAAGAUAAUAUUUGCGGUGUAACUUCCCCACUCCCUUUCCAGCACAUCCUUAAAGGACUCAAAUGGAAUGUCGUCCUAUGACAAAGAAAAGUGCUUGUGCAUAUUAACUCCUCUGCUGCUGAACCAAUUUGUGACAGGAUGAAAGCGCUACUAGGAAACAAAGUGAAGAAGGAUGGACACUCUAUUCAGUAUUUAUAAAUUUCUAGGUUUUUCCUUUUCAAGCCCCCUUAGAAUCUUUACGAAAAAGGUCAACAGUUUAGCAUGCCUCCAAAUGAAAA
rnacentral:lncRNA from 1 species